rnacentral:rRNA from 1 species
GGACUACUGGGGUUUCUAAUCCUGUUUGAUCCCCACGCUUUCGUGCCUCAGUGUCAAUGCAAGCUUAGUGAACUGCCUUCGCAAUCGGUGUUCUAUUACAUAUCUAAGCAUUUCACCGCUACAUGUAAUAUUCCAUCCACCUCAACUUGAUUCAAGUCCGUCAGUAUCAAUGGCAAUUCUGGAGUUGAGCUCCAGGCUUUCACCGCUGACUUAACAGACCACCUACGCACCCUUUAAACCCAGUGAAUCCGGAUAACGCUUGCACCCUCCGUAUUACCGCGGCUGCUGGCAC